rnacentral:rRNA from 1 species
AUGCGGGAGGACCCGGGGCCAGAGCAAGUUGGGUUGGGGUAUAGAGCCGUAAGCGCGGUGGGGGUGACAGAGGAUGUGCUCGUACGGUUCAUAGUUGGGUAUGAUAUUCUCGUGGAUUGUUGGGAACGUCCUCUAUAUUCGAAAUAUGCCUUUUUAACGCUCUAA